UCUAGGGAUUCUUCAUUGCUCUAUUCUACUGCUUUCUGAAUUCAGAGGUACGGCGUACAAUCCAAUCGAGCAUGCGCAAGACACGUGAUAGCCAGAACGCCUCUUUCACCAACUCGUCUGUUGAGAAGAAAACGCAGUCGUCUGCCACCAUGCGAAAGGUUCGCGUAAGUCCAGCCCCGCCUGAUUUUGACCCACCCAAGAUCUCCAAGAAGUGAAGAAGCACACCUGUCAGGCUGGAAUAUCAAGAACACGAUUACAACUGCUUUCGAAAUAUCAGCCUAAGGCAAUUCCAACAGUCUUGCGCCUCACCUGCUGU